AAUGAGAUGCCUGAUUAAAGGGUUAUUUUGAUAGAAUAAAUUAUGUAAAUAUUUUACUCUCAUUA
rnacentral:tRNA from 1 species